UACGGAGGGUGCAAGCGUUAUCCGGAUUCACUGGGUUUAAAGGGUGCGUAGGUGGGCUUGUAAGUCAGUGGUGAAAUCUCCGGGCUUAACCCGGAAACUGCCAUUGAUACUAUAGGUCUUGAAUUAUCUGGAGGUCAGCGGAAUAUGUCAUGUAGCGGUGAAAUGCUUAGAUAUGACAUAGAACACCAAUUGCGAAGGCAGCUGGCUACAGGUAUAUUGACACUGAGGCACGAAAGCGUGGGGAUCAAACCAGGAGUUAGA
rnacentral:rRNA from 1 species